rnacentral:rRNA from 1 species
UACGUAGGGUGCGAGCGUUAAUCGGAAUUACUGGGCGUAAAGCGUGCGCAGGCGGUUCGUUAAGUCAGCUGUGAAAGCCCCGGGCUUAACCUGGGAAUGGCGGUUGAAACUGGCGAACUUGAAUCUGGCAGAGGGGGGUGGAAUUCCACGUGUAGCAGUGAAAUGCGCAGAUAUCGGGAGGAACACCAGUAGCGAAGGCGGCUCGCUGGGCCAUUCCUGACGCUGAGACGCGAAAGCUAGGGGAGCGAACAGG